GAGAGAAAGAGAAUUUUAAUGAUGUAUUUAGAAAGAAAUGCCACCUUAUUUCAAAGAUCAUGGUGGGACGUGUAGACCAAACUUGUUGUAUGAACUAAGCAAGAACAUGGGAUUGCACGUAGUUGGAUCUGGUCGAAGGUGCGAGGUGCGUUUGAAUCAUCACAUCAUUUGACCUUGGCAACAGCAAAAGCGUGCCCCCAACUCUCACCAACCAAAAGAAAGCACGGAGUCAAAAUAUACAUAUAUUGAAAGGUCUUAUUUCCGAACAGCAUAAAGGAAAAAAAAAAAAAGAGUAUUUAAUCCUAAGCAGAAACUUCAAGCCUCAGAAUAGUGUCCUUGUAAACCUGCUAAAAGACACCAAAUCUUAAUUGUCCUUUGGGUUUUAGCUGCAGCAGAUGGCGUCAAGAUUUAAGAGAGAGAGAGAGAGAGAGAGAGAGAGAGAGAGAGAGUUUGUGUUGCAUGUAAUCUCACAAAAAAAACUAAAAAAAUUAUCCUCAAUUUCUCCUCCCAUAUGCUUUUAUAGGUUGUAAUCACCCGAUUUUUUUAUUACAGGACUUAAAGAUCUCAUCAGACGAAUUUUUACGCCUAAAAAAAAUAGUACGAUAACAAUUCACCUUAAAUUGACGAUUCAAAUUCUUUAAAAUGUCAGCAUGGAAUAACUAGUAAAGAUGUUAAUUCUUGAUAAAAAAAAAUCUUAAAUAAAAUCAUUUAUUUUUAUAAAAAAUAAAAAAAUAAUGAAUCGGACAGAUUGUCUAUCCUCUACUCUAAGGAUCAUUAGGGGGUUAAUUUUCUCUAAUCCCAAAUCAUCGCUAGCCAUGUUGCCUACUUCUAGAAUUCAGAGGCUAAUUCUGGUCUUCAUUUUUGGCCUGUGAUGAUUCCCUGACCAUUGACUUUGAAGCAUAUGACUUGUAGUUCCUAUUCCUACAAAUAGAGCCUCAGCUACAUCAACUCCUAGUUUUGCCAGUUUCUCCAUUAGGGACUCUUCCUGCUGUUAAUUCUGUUUCAGCUGUAGGUUCCGAUCCAAGAUACUAGGGAGAAGAGUAGACAUGAGUACUCAUUACCUUGUUGCAGAGGGAGAUCAGCAGCAGGUAUCCAGGCAUGAUCAUUUUCAAAAGCAGCUCAGCUCCAUGAAGAAAUCAUGGUCCAUCGAUUCUCUUGCAAGCCUUGCAGAAGGAGGCAAAACCUGCAUCUGUGCACCGACGAAGCACGUGGGAUCGUUCCGUUGCAGGCACCAUCGCCACUCCUCGAGCAUCAGCCUAAGCAGCCAAGCCCAGCCACCUGCACCUGCAAAACUUUCAAGCUCAUUGGAAGUUAAUGAAGCUAAGUAACAGAUAUAAAAGAGAUGUUGAUCCUUGUUAUGGUUUUAUACAGAUUGAAGAAGAUCGCUGAGAUUGGUCUGUUAAUAUUACUUACUACUUUUGAUGUGUGGAUACCGGAGAUUGUCAGUAAACUGUGAUUGCCUUAUCUGUGUAAGAAUACAUGCUUAUGUCAAAAAUAAAACAACACUCGUGUGUUAAGUUUGAA